rnacentral:rRNA from 1 species
GAUGAACGCUGGCGGCGUGCUUAACACAUACAAGUCGAACGAUGAAGCUGGAGCUUGCUCUGGUGGAUUAGUGGCGAACGGGUGAGUAACACGUGAGCAACCUGCCCCUGACUCUGGGAUAACAGCCGGAAACGGCUGCUAAUACCGGAUAUGCACCAUGAACGCAUGUUCUGUGGUGGGAAAGAUUUUUCGGUUGGGGAUGGGCUCGCGGCCUAUCAGCUUGUUGGUGAGGUAAUGGCUCACCAAGGCGUCGACGGGUAGCCGGCCUGAGAGGGUGACCGGCCACACUGGGACUGAGACACGGCCCAGACUCCUACGGGAGGCAGCAGUGGGGAAUAUUGCACAAUGGGCGAAAGCCUGAUGCAGCAACGCCGCGUGAGGGAUGACGGCCUUCGGGUUGUAAACCUCUUUUAGCAGGGAAGAAGCGAGAGUGACGGUACCUGCAGAAAAAGCGCCGGCUAACUACGUG